rnacentral:rRNA from 1 species
CAGUAGCCGCGGGAACACGGAGGGUGCUAGCGUUGUUCGGAAUUACUGGGCGUAAAGCGCACGUAGGCGGCUUUACAAGUCAGAGGUGAAAGCCUGGUGCUCAACACGAGAAUUGCCUUUGAGACUGUAUCGCUUGAACGUCGGAGAGGUGAGUGGAAUUCCGGGUGUAGAGGUGAAAUUCGUAGAUAUUCGGAAGAACACCAGUGGCGAAGGCGGCUCACUGGACGACUGUUGACGCUGAGGUGCGAAAGCGUGGGGAGCAAACAGGAUUAGAUACCCCUGUAGUCCCUGUCUCUUAUAC